CAGCCGCCGCGGUAAUACGAGGGGGGCAAGCGUUGUUCGGAAUUAUUGGGCGUAAAGGGUGCGUAGGCGGUUUGACAAGUCUUAUGUGAAAUCUCUGGGCUCAACCCAGAGUCUGCAUGGGAAACUGUCGGGCUUGAGUAUGGGAGAGGUGAGUGGAAUUUCCGGUGUAGCGGUGAAAUGCGUAGAUAUCGGAAGGAACACCUGUGGCGAAAGCGGCUCACUGGACCAUAACUGACGCUGAUGCACGAAAGCUAGGGGAGCAAAUGGGAUUAGAUACCCCUGUAGUCCCUGUCUCUUAUAC
rnacentral:rRNA from 1 species